GUCACGUGUGUGUGUGUAUUUAGUCUUUGUUCAUUAAUUCAUUCGUCCAUUCACAUUUCUCAAUCAACAACAGUGAGGGGGAAAAAGAUGGCCAACCUUUUGUAAUGUGGUGAAUGGAUUCAUAUUGGAGCCAUUUAAGAGGUGUGCAAUGCACGCGACACCCAGAGCCGUCCAAGAAAGACGCCGCGUGAGUGCGCGAGCUGGUCUGUGUCGUUAUUUGAACGCUUGCUGUUAACGAAGACCCUCAUUUAAAGUCGGGCAGGGCCGCCCUGUCGUCUGCGCACACAAACGCGCAACUACACGCUUAAUGCGACAUUCCAGGCGCGCGUCGCCUCCGGUUGUCCGACCUGAUGCUGUUGCUCGCCAAUCAAACGUCAGAGGCGUGAGUACAAACUGUUGAGGUGAGCGGUGUGAGAAGAAAACCACAUCUCCCGUGAUCCUCUUCGUGAAGAGCGCAGGGACUCAUGGGAGAGGAGCAUGCGCAGUGCAGGAAUCUCACCCUCACCGGCGCUAAACUUCAACUUUUUGGAACGUCCUGCAGACUUUCAAUCGACGAGAUUUAAAAUUUCAAUGAACACGCACCAUGCGGACAUUUUGCAUCUUAACACAACACCACAAGAUAGCACUGGAGAUGAGUCGAAUCGGCAAUUGUGAACCCUCAAAGGAAUUGUUGAUCAAAUGAGUCGCUACACCCUGAUUAUAAUCUACCAAUUUUCCAUCCUUCCAUCCAUCCAUUCAUUUUCUGAGCCACUUAUCCUCACGAGGGUCGCUGGAGCCUCUGGCAGCUGUCAUCGGGCAGCACCCUGAACUGGUCGCCAGGCGAUCACAGGGCACAGAGAGACAAACGACGACGGUAUUCUCACACUUACGGGCAAUUCACAGUCUGCAUUUCAUGCAUGUUUUUUGGGGGGGGACGUGGGAGGAAACCGAAGUGCCCACCCGGAGAAAAGCCACGUCGGCACGGGGAAAAUGUGCAAACUCCACACAGCCGGGGGCCAGGAUUUGAACCCCGUUCCUCAGAACCGGGCGGCAGAUGCGCGAACCAGUUGCCCCACCGUGCUACCAUCUCAUAAAUACAAAAUAUUAACCAUUAAAAGAAACAUCCUUAAAAAACUUCCCAAAAAUACACGUAUAUGAGGUGAAGAUGCACAAAUAUUAGAAAAAUGCGCAAAUAUUCAUACAAAAUAUAUUUUCUGUUCAUUAUGAAAAAAGACAAAUACAUUUUUAGAUGAUCAUCCAAAAUACAAAAACACUCAUUGGGGGGAGAGAAAA